rnacentral:rRNA from 1 species
GACGAACGCUGGCGGCGUGCUUAACACAUGCAAGUCGUACGGUAAGGCCCUUUCGGGGGUUCACGAGUGGCGAACGGGUGAGUAACACGUGAGUAACCUGCCCACAACUUUGGGAUAACGCUAGGAAACUGGUGCUAAUACUGGAUAUGUGCUCCUGCUGCAUGGUGGGGGUUGGAAAGCUCCGGCGGUGGUGGCUGGAGUUGCGGCCUAUCAGCUUGUUGGUGGGGUAGUGGCCGACCAGGGCGGCGGCGGGAAGCCGGCCUGGGGGGGUGAGCGGCCGCAUUGGGACUGAGAGACGGCCCAGACGCCGACGGGAGGCAGAAGGGGGGAAUAUUGCACAAUGGGCGCAGGCCGGAUGCAGCAGCGCCGCGGGCGGGAUGACGGCCUUCGGGUUGUAAACCGCAUUCAGCAGGGACGAAGCUUUUUGUGACGGUACCUGCAGAAGAAGCACCGGCUAACUACGUG